UUUUUUUUUUUUUUUUUAAUGAAGAACUGGCCAGUGGUCUGGGCCCAGUUGUCCUGGACCAACCGGCUGGUCCGGUUUUGAAAACUAUGGAAAAAAAAAUUCAAGGAUGAGUUUUCUUAUUCCUAGAUCACAACCUAAAACACAAUUAUGAAACAAACCUUUCUCCCAAAAAAAAAAGGAACCAAACAGAAAAUAAGUACUAAAUGAGCAAAAAACACACAUUUAUGUAAAGUAGUUUACAGAAAAUAAAAUUUGGAAACACAAAGUAUUAUGGA
rnacentral:misc_RNA from 1 species